rnacentral:SRP_RNA from 1 species
ACCGGGCACAGUGGUGCAUGCCUAUAGUCCCAGCUACUUGGGAGGCUGAGGUAGGAGGAUCGCUUGAGCCCAGGAGUUCUAUGGGUUCAAGGGCGCUAUGCCGAUCAGGUGUCUGCACUAAGUUCGGCAUCAAUAUGGUGACCUCCUGGGAGCGGGGGACCACCAGGUUGCCUAAGGAGGGGUGAACCGGCUCAGGUUGGAAAUGGAGCAGGUCAAAACUCCAGUGCUGAUCAGUAGUGGGAUCGCGUCUGUGAAUAGCAGCUGCACUCCAGCUUGGGCAACAUAGCAAGACCCUGUCUCUA